CGCCUCUCAGGGUCGCACCUGGAGAGUUUCCAGUCCUCCACCAGUCUCGGCUACUAGAGGGAGAGUCAAGCAGAGUCCUAGCCAUUUCAUCCCUAGCUUGGACAGUGGCUAGCGAGUGGAAGGCAAUCUGUUACAAGG